CAAUUCCCCAUCUAACUGGUAGCCUCCUUCUUCCCCCUCAGUAGCGAAGGUGCUUCAAUGUCCUGCCUGCCGUCUGCUCUCCGUGGCAGUGUCGGUCCAGGACUUUUGCUUCAAAUGCGUAAGAAUCCCUAUCCAAUACAUCGUGGUGUCUCCAGGCUCUUUCUUCCGUCUCGCAGCUGGGAAAUUACAAGGUUUGCAGGCCUGCAGGGUGCAGCCAAACACUUUCACUGGAGCAUAUUUUAAUGAACAUCUUUUGAACUAUACAGAGAACUCUGAAGCCAUAGUUGGAUGGAAGAGAUUCAGGAUGGAAGGUGUCUGGCUGCCUCAGUCGUCAUGUGGGAAGAAGCUGGUCACUGCUACACUGAGCUGUUACGCCUCAUGGAAUCAUCAUGUGGGAAGAAACCUUGAGAAGUCUUUCGACAUUGCAGACCACAUAUUCUGAACCAAAACUCCAAACAAAUAGCCUAACAAAAGACUCUUUUCCUUAUUUGCCAAUGUAUUUAUAACGAUCGUAUAAGUGUUUAAAAGGUCAUAUGAAUUUAUACACAAAAUCAAUUGCCUAAGUCUUGCUCAUCUCCCCUUGGUCCAGGUAUCAACAGGACUGAUGUGCUGCCCCCUCCUAGUUCUGUGUUUUCAGCCCUUCUCACUCUAAUUGAGUCAGUUUGUUCAAGUGCCUCAUAAGUAUUUCUCCAAACACAUCCCACAGGUAUUUCAAACUCAACACCUCCAAAAUUGAAAUCACCUUUGCUCCCAAACCAGUUCCUCCACGUCUCAUGCUCUCGCCAUGAACAAUACAGCAUCAUUGGCUACCCAAGCCAGAAACCGUAGAAUCUUCAUAGCCCACCCGCUACUCUCUCCCUGACUCAGUCACUGAAUCUUGUCAAGUCUAUCUGCAAAGAAUAAAAAUCUCUCAUGUGCAUUUCCUUCUCUUCAUCCUCACCACUGCUGCCUUAGUGCACAUCCUUUCAACUUCCUCGGCAAAUUAUUGAAAUCACCUCUUUGUUUGUCUCCCUGCCACCAAUAUUCAUCACCAUCCACCUGCCCUCCACACUGUCCUCCUCAUCUCUGUCAGAGGUCUUCAGAAAAUACACAUUUCAUCAUGUAACAUAUGACCACCACUCCUUCUCUGUGAUCUUAUAUUAAAGAUCAGAAUUUUCUGCUGUAACUGAGAUAGUCAUGAAUAAAACUCAUAUUCCCAACAGGGCAAAAUGAGAAAUUCUGAAUUGCUUUAAAGGAAAGUUGCCAGGCUGAUUUUUUUCCCCAACACAGGAUUUCUAGGCUUGAAAAAAUGCCAAACAGCUUUGUGAUAUUGCUUGUAUUGACCCCUGCCCCCCACUCCAUCCUCCAAUGUCACUUCAGAGAGUCUUAUGUUUAAAAUACAGAUUGUGAGCCCAGUGUAGGAACAGACAGAAGCAAGGAGAUGUGCAGACAUCAAACAGCUACAAUGUGGAAUUGUUCAGCUAAAGAAACUGACAGACCCUUAAAGACAGUCUUCCUAAACUGAUAUCAAUAAUAUUCAAUGAUUCUUUCUCCUUUGAGGUGCUCUGAGCUUUUUACAAGAAUCAACUCUGAAUAUACAAACAGAAAUCACAGAAAGAGUAAACAAAAGAAAUAUCUUUUUUUGUCCCUUUCUCACAAAGACAAUUCCUUAGGUAUCAAAACCAGGGGAUGAGAAGGAUUACUUUAUUUAUAUACGCAUAAAUUCUCUCAGUGGUAUUUUUGAACUAUAAUGAGCCAGGAAGUGUGCUGUGGGAACACACUGGUGCCAGAGAAAGCACCUCAUUUUUCUAGCAGUCUCUGAGGGCAGAGGCUACACCCAUCAGGAGGACUGACGCCAAGGCAGUAUUCAAUAUAUGUUGAAUAUUAGAGGAAAAUAGUUGCAAAGUUAUAAGAUAGUGGUGAAAAAAGAGGCAUUUAACAAGUGCUAUAGAGGUGGGGGACUGAUCGCAUUUGGCCCGGUGAGUGAGCUGGUGUCAGGAAAGAUUUUUUGACAGAAUGUUUUAGCCAGGGCUCUCUGAAUUACAAGACAGCUUGUGCUAUUCUCAUUUCUGGAAAUGUCCUUUCCAAUUUCACUACAUACCUACUGAACUCUUACUCAUCAUUCCAGAUACAGAUUAAAUCUCAGCUCCUCAGUGAAGCCGCUCCCAACCGUCACAUCAAAAUCUUCUUACUCCAGGUCUCUGGAGUGUUUUAUUUAUACCCAUACUUACAUACACAUUCUCAUACUAUGUCCUUAUCACACAUUAAUGUCCUCUAGUUUAUUUAUUUUGUUGAAGCACUUAUAUAGCCCUUACUAUGUGCCAGGCAGUAUCUUAAUGGCUCUGCAAUAUUGUUUCACUUAAUCCUCACAGAAAACCUAUGUGUAGUUUUACUAUUAUUCCCCACUUCACUGAAGCCCAGAUUUCUAGAAUUCUGUCUUGCACUACAGGGCAAGGUCCCUGGGAGAAGAAAAUGCAUUUUCUCCAUCCUUAUAACCUCAGCUUGUAGAACAUGACGUAGCAAAUUGUAGACUUUCAAUUUGAUAAACACAAAUACGUACAUAUUGUUGAAUAAAGAAUGUUUGGCAGAGACGCCUGUUCAGAUCAAA